rnacentral:rRNA from 1 species
AGUCGAGCGGCAGCGGGAGAAAGCUUGCUUUCUUGCCGGCGAGCGGCGGACGGGUGAGUAAGGUAUGGGGAUCUGGCCGAAGGCGGGGGAUAACCACUGGAAACGGUGGCUAAUACUGCAUAAUCUCUAAGGAGCAAAGUGGGGGACCAUUUGGCCUCACACCUUCGGAUGAACCCAUAUGAGAUUAGCUAGUAGGUGGGGUAAAGGCUCACCUAGGCGACGAUCUCUAGCUGGUCUGAGAGGAUGAUCAGCCACACUGGGACUGAGACACGGCCCAGACUCCUACGGGAGGCAGCAGUGGGGAAUAUUGCACAAUGGGCGCAAGCCUGAUGCAGCCAUGCCGCGUGUAUGAAGAAGGCCUUCGGGUUGUAAAGUACUUUCAGUCGUGAGGAAGGUGUUAAGGUUAAUAGUCUUAGCAAUUGACGUUAGCGACAGAAGAAGCACCGGCUAACUCCGUGCCAGCAGCCGCGGUAAUACGGAGGGUGCGAGCGUUAAUCGGAAUUACUGGGCGUAAAGGGUACGCAGGCGGUUAAUUAAGUUGGAUGUGAAAUCCCCGGGCUUAACCUGGGAAUGGCAUUCAAGACUGGUUAGCUAGAGUCUUGUAGAGGGGGGUAGAAUUCCAUGUGUAGCGGUGAAAUGCGUAGAGAUGUGGAGGAAUACCGGUGGCGAAGGCGGCCCCCUGGACAAAGACUGACGCUCAUGUGCGAAAGCGUGGGGAGCAAACAGGAUUAGAUACCCUGGUAGUCCACGCUGUAAACGAUGUCGAUUUGGAGGUUGUGGUCCUGAACUGUGGCCUCCGGAGCUAACGCGUUAAAUCGACCGCCUGGGGAGUACGGCCGCAAGGUCAAAACUCAAAUGAAUUGACGGGGGCCCGCACAAGCGGUGGAGCAUGUGGUUUAAUUCGAUGCAACGCGAAGAACCUUACCUACUCUUGACAUCCAGCGAAGCCUUUAGAGAUAGAGGCGUGCCUUCGGGAGCGCUGAGACAGGUGCUGCAUGGCUGUCGUCAGCUCGUGUUGAGAAAUGUUGGGUUAAG